GGGUGGUUUUGGCACCUGAACAGAAAACAUGGUGUGUGGCUAAACCUUCUGAUAAUGACAAUCGUACACUCGAUGAAAACAUUAAGUUUGCAUGCGCCGAGGUAGAUUGCCGGGUUGUGCUAGUCCACUGCCCCUGUUUCUGCAAAGACAAGUACCUUUUCGCCUCGAUGGUAAUGAAUCUUUACUAUCAGGAAAAGGGUCGGAUUAGCAUAAAUUGUGAUUUCAAGAACUCGGCUAUUGUUAUCAGCAAGGAUCCAAGUCUUUCGGACUGCACUUUUGCAUGAAGGUCGAAAUUAAGGGCGGAGCUAGAAAUCUUUUUGUGGGG